rnacentral:snoRNA from 1 species
CCACCUAAAUGAUGAGAAAUUUUUUCAAAUUAAACAGUUAUCCCUGUCUUAAUAGAUCAUGUCGAGAAUUCAUACUCUGAAGGUUU